rnacentral:tRNA from 1 species
AAAAAGAUAAGCUAAAUUUAAGCUUGUGGGUUCAUACCUCAUAUAUAGGUUUAAACCUUCUUUUUA